GGUAGGGUAGCCGAGUGUCAGGCGGUGGGUUGUAGCCCCAAAGACAGAGGUUUAAGUCCUCUUCCUACCA
rnacentral:tRNA from 1 species